rnacentral:rRNA from 1 species
CUGACCUGCCCAGUGAUAAUUUUAACGGCCGCGGUAUACUGACCGUGCAAAGGUAGCAUAAUCAUUAGUCUUUUAAUAGAGGGCUGGAAUGAAAGGUUUCACGAGGAACUAGCUGUCUCAUUUUAUUUGUUUUAAAAUUUAAUUUUUUAGUCAAAAAGCUAAAAUGCAAUUGGUAGACGAGAAGACCCUAUAGAUCUUUAUAUAAUUUUAAAUACUUAUUUAUAUAUUAAUAUUUUUAUUUAAAAUUGUAUUUUGUUGGGGUGACAAAAAUAUAUAAUUAACUUUUUUAUUUACAUAACAUUGAUAUAUGAAUAUUAGAUCCAUUAUUAGUGAUUGAUAGAUUAAGUUACCUUAGGGAUAACAGCGUAAUCCUCCUCCAGAGUUCAUAUUUACAGGAUGGGCUUGCGACCUCGAUGUUGGAUUAAGAUAAUAAUUAGGUGUAGCCGCUUAAUUUAUAGGUCUGUUCGACCUUUAA